rnacentral:tRNA from 1 species
GCCGAUGUAGCUCAGUUGGUAGAGCAGCUGAUUUGUAAUCAGCGGGUCGGGGGUUCGAAUCCCUUCAUCGGCUCCA